rnacentral:rRNA from 1 species
UACAGAGGUCUCAAGCGUUGUUCGGAUUCAUUGGGCGUAAAGGGUGCGUAGGCGGCGUGGUAAGUCGGAUGUGAAAUCUCGGAGCUUAACUCCGAAACUGCAUUCGAUACUGCGGUGCUUGAGGACUGGAGAGGAGACUGGAAUUCAUGGUGUAGCAGUGAAAUGCGUAGAUAUCAGGAGGAACACCGGUGGCGAAGGCGGUUCUCUGGGCAUGUCCUGACGCUGAGGAGCGAAAGUGUGGGGAGCAAACAGG